UACGUAGGGGGCAAGCGUUGUUCGGAAUUAUUGGGCGUAAAGGGUGCGUAGGCGGUUUGGUAAGUCUUAUGUGAAAUCUACAGGCUCAACUUGUAGUCUGCAUGAGAAACUGCCGGGCUUGAGUAUGGGAGAGGUGAGUGGAAUUCCUGGUGUAGCGGUGAAAUGCGUAGAUAUCAGGAGGAACACCUGUGGCGAAAGCGGCUCACUGGACCAUAACUGACGCUGAUGCACGAAAGCUAGGGGAGCAAACAGG
rnacentral:rRNA from 1 species